rnacentral:misc_RNA from 1 species
CGCUUGGUUAACAGAAUGGCGUGUAUGCGAGCGUGCACACGCUCGGGAGAGAAAGCACGAGCAAAGACAACUAGUUAUGUGUUUCAGAGUGCAAAUUGCGAGGAUAUGCUUAUUAACAAAAUGGAAAUCGAUUUCAGUUUCGCUUCAUUUGUAAUGAAUUUCAUACAUUUUUGGGAUGUAGUCAAGUGCACAAAUUGUUAUUAAGAGUUCCGCUUAGUCGGCAGCAUCGAGCGUUGUAAAAGGAAGUUGAUUCGGCAGAGCGCAUUUGCGGAAUAGUUAGCAGUGAGAACGUAAAAGUGACUUUGAGCAAACCGUUGCAAACCGUUGCAAAGCAAACAAAUCUUAGUUUUUACUAAGCUACCUUUGAACGGCUGAACGGAGGGGUUGACAUUCCCUGCCGAGGGCGUCCGCAAUUGGAAAAAUUAUCUUAAUUUUGUAUUUUAAUUAAUUUUCAUCUGAGGCGUUGCUUACCGCGUCUUGUACAAGGGUCGCUCAUGUUUCCAAGGUACGCGACAUGGACACAAAGGUGGAAAAUCAAUAUAGCCUCGCAACUGUAACAGUAUACCUAGAAGCUUGACUACAAUCCAUUACGUAAAAUAAAUCCUUGGUGCAUAAGAGGUUUAUUUCUCAUGAGACGCGUUCGUGAAGCAUAUGGGGCGUGUAUGUUUUGCUCUUCUUUUUGGUUGUUGAGUUCGGGAUUUAUUAUAGAAAUAGUCUGCGUUGGUAAUUAGAGCCUUCAAAUUGCCAGUGGGCAUGCGGCAUUAUGACGUCUGGGAAGUUCAUAACUGCAUGGAGAGGCUUUGGAUGCCGUGUUGGAGAGCGAAGUUCGAGGGUCUUUAGCUGAAACCUAUGUAAUCGCAGAAGGGUAUGCGGCCUUGGUGUCUGUAUAGAAAAUUUACAGCAAAAUUCAUCGUUAGUGUGUGACUGAGUGUGAUUGAGUUGAGUACUAUAGUAUAAGUAUAUAUAUAUAGUAUAGUAUAUGUAUUUUAUUAG